GCCAAGAGAAGGACUGCAGUAUUUCAGGACUUCUGUGUGCGUCGUCCAGCUUCCCAUGAUAAGUUGACAUCACAGGCAAUUAAAAAGGAAAACUCUUUGGUGGAGAACCAGGGGACAAAUGUUCACUCUGCUCACCAACAGGGGAGACUCACAACAUCUAAAAGAAGAAGUGGAUAACUAAGCUCAUCCAAGCUGGAAUAACUGAAGGUGCCAGUGUGACUGCUGGGUUUGACAAUGGUGAUAUUCACAGGCAAGAAGAACUGGAAUUGUCAGCAAGCAACUAGAGAAAGGAACCUUUCAGAACCUGAAGACUCAGUGACUGCUUUUGCUAUCAGUAAUAAAGUCCAUUUUCUGUGAUCCUGGAGUCUUGUUUCCUCUGCCAGUGCCCUUGAAGUGAGUGAGCUAGCUGUGUGUGCAGCCAAGGGGA
rnacentral:lncRNA from 1 species